rnacentral:rRNA from 1 species
UACGGAGGGGGUUAGCGUUGUUCGGAAUUACUGGGCGUAAAGCGCACGUAGGCGGAUUAGAAAGUUGGGGGUGAAAUCCCGGGGCUCAACCUCGGAACUGCCUCCAAAACUCCUAGUCUAGAGUUCGAGAGAGGUGAGUGGAAUUCCAAGUGUAGAGGUGAAAUUCGUAGAUAUUUGGAGGAACACCAGUGGCGAAGGCGGCUCACUGGCUCGAUACUGACGCUUAGGUGCGAAAGUGUGGGGAGCAAACAGG